AAAUCCACCAAGCCCUAUGAUGGAUACAACAAUGGACAAGGCCGGCAACAACCAUUCAAUGCAUGACCAACCAAUUUGAUAUUUGGUCUCCCUAGUAGAGAUAUGAUUUUGUAUUACCCUUUUCACAACUUGAGAUUCUACUAGGCCUACCUUCUUUUAGAACGCUUUCACUUCUUCUCUUUUACUUGAUAUCUUGUAAAAUGGUUUGGCUUCACAUGAUACAGAUUUGUAUUUCACUUUCUCUUUUUCUGCUACUGCUAUAGUUAGGGUACAACACUUAGUGGCAUGUAUGUUUAAUGAACAGAUUUCUGAAG
rnacentral:misc_RNA from 1 species